UUAUCGAUAAGCAUGUGUAUUCUCCCUCUAUAUUUCUGUGUGUGCAUAAUAUUUGUAGAUUUAUUUUAGACACGGCAAGAGAUGCAUGCGUGACAUGGAAUUUUAUUCUGGAUUGCUUCCCUUGAUUUUUACAUUAAACAUUUAUUAGAGGUCUGGGGGAUAAUUUCGAAUGCUGGAAUUGGGGAAAAAACAACAAAUGAACAGAUGAAACGGUUUGCUAUGACAAUGAAUCCUUCUCACCAGAAUGAAUGUUCCUCUUUUGAAGCACACUGUCAUACAUGUAAUCUUCAAUGGAGGAUAAAUGUCAAACAGGCGU